GGAUAUCUAUUUUCUUAAAUUUGGGAUACUCCUGGUUGCUGCGAAACUUAAUGAUUUGAAUCUAUAAACCAGGGGUACAAACACGUACAGGAGUUCAUUCAUCAAGAAUAACUUAAGCGGACUUCUUCCAUGCUCAGGCAUACAUGAAUGCCCCAAAAGUUAUCGUUCAUUCCAUGUAAACUGUGGUGGACCGGAUGUAACCAGUGGGAGUAUCUUGUAUGAAGGUGACGUAAGCAUUGAAAGUGAUGCUGCUAUGAUUUAUU